rnacentral:tRNA from 1 species
GGAAGGCUGGUUCAGUGGUUAGGGCUCCAGCCUCGAACUCGGGAGCCCUGAGCUCAAGUCUCUGCCCUUCCA